UGUGUUAUCAGCUGUAUCCGGUUUGUAGCUCUGUUAGAAUUGCCUCUAAACGUGUACUUCACGAGCGCUAACGCUUGUGUAUGGCGCAGGAUGUUUUUGUCAUUCGGGGGCUCGUUCCGGCCGUGGUUUGAGUAACCAUUCUCUGUCUCAACUGGCCGCAGUGGGUAUGGACGUCACCAACGAAGACUUCACUGGUGUUCAACGUGCCGCCUGGAGGGAAUGUGCGUGCGGUUCAUGCCGAAGACUGACAGAUAUUAGCCGGAACACGGCACAAGUGUUACCCGGAACAUGCGUCCAAUGCUAACAAUCACCUGUCGACCAUGACCGCAUUCAGUAAGUUACGCCUGGAAGCAGAAUUCCGAUUCGAGGCCAGGAUGGGAAGCAUGGAGGAAACGCUGCACAACGGGUGACAACUGCCAUAUCAACCGCCCCCACAAAGAGAUGUAGAGUCACUGCCACAAUUUCACAACUUUGCCGAAAUAAAGUCUUCAAUCCCCUUUGAAACAAA